GCAUUGGUGGUUCAGGUGGUAGAAUUCUUGCCUUCCAUGCGGGAGACCCAGGUUCGAUUCCCAGCCAAUGCA
rnacentral:tRNA from 1 species